GCAUGCGCGGUCUGCCUCCCGCGGCGGGCCGGGUCUCCAGGGAGGACCUGAGUUUUCUUCACCCAUUGUCAGGGAGGCGCCAUCGCCCUGGCUUUGGGGCUGGGGCCUCCGGGGAGGUUCCGGAAAUCCCACUUCCAACUGGAUGUCUGGAUGAACUACUGAAAGCUGCUGAGUGUCCUGCAGCAGGCCAUUUCCAAUCCAGCGGAAGACCUUCUAGAAGAGAUGAUGGUGGGAGAGUGCUGACAUACUAUGUGAAGCUACUAUUUGGAGUUGGACACGAGUGCAUGUGUCCUUGUGCCACAACGGGAAUGUGAGCUGGAUGACAAAUGGAGAUUUGGACUUGUGAUAAUUGGCCUCUGUGUCAUUGUGUGGAAGACUGACUGGUCCCUUUAUUUCCUGUAGCUUGACUACAACACAAAUGAAUCCACUCAAAUGUUGGCAAGUGGAGCAGAGUCCCAGAACAGAUGGGCAGGUGCUGGAGCAGCCCCCCUGGAAGUGAUGCAGCAUCCAGGAAGACGGAGGAAGGGGCGGAGAAGGACCUCUGCUUUCCAGGCUGCCUUUUAUACUGCCUCUGGUCACCUGACGUGGAACGUACCCUAACCUAAUCAGUUACAUGAGGCGCUUGGAAACCACCGUCAAUUGGACCGCACUGGGAAACACAGAUGAACAAAGUCAACACCGCUUUGUCCUUCAGUGCCUGGCUCCUUUUUCAGCUCGUCUUGCGACUCUAGGCAAAAGGCCUCUGAGGGAGUAUUACAGCCGCCUCAUCCACCAGAAGCAUUUCCAGCAGAUCCAGGUCUGCACCCCCUGACUGCAGGGCCAAGGACUACCCCCGCUUCUAGGCAAGCUAAGCCAGUUCUGGAAGAACCUGCAAGAGUCUCAGCAGCUCUGAUGGGAUGAGAGCUGGGUGCAGACUGUGCUCCCUUUGGUUAUGGACACAUAACUCCUGGGCCAGAGGCUAAAACCCCAGGGCCCCUGCUGUCCUUCCCGCAGCUUCUUGGAGUCUCAGGGCAAAGCCUUUCGAGCAGCGCCUCCCAGUGGCCAGAAGCUGAAAUGACGGCAGUGGUGUCACCUGGUGAAUGACCCGGGAAGCUGUGGUUGGCCCUGAUUUCUUCUUUGGAGUCUCUGAAAUGCUUCCUGUCUUCUGUUCUUCAUGCCCCAUGCCCCUGCUAGCGUAUUACUGUUCUGUGACUUCCCUGUGACCUCUGCAGUACUCCUCAUCCUGCAUUUGGUCUCCAGGUGUCACCUUUCUGCCGUGUUCCUAACACUUUCAUUCCUGUCUUGAAAAAAGCGCCUGCUGCACCAUAAGCCCUGGGAUGGAUGUGGCAGCUGCAGCGGGCUUGGCUUUGUGAGGAACCGAGUGUGUCCAGGGAUGUGGCAGCUGCAGCGGGCUUGGCUUUCUGAGGAACCGAGUGUGUCCACGUUGGGGGAACGUCAUCCUUGAUACACACGUUUUUAUUUGCAGAAAGAAAAUGCUAUUUUUGGAGC
ensembl:lncRNA FAM66D family with sequence similarity 66 member D